rnacentral:rRNA from 1 species
CGUGUAGGCGGUCUGUUAAGUCAUGUGUGAAAUCCCUCGGCUCAACCGGGGAACGACGCAUGAAACUGACAAGCUAGAGUACCAAAGAGGGGGUGGAAUUCCCGGUGUAGCGGCGAAAUGCGUAGAUAUCGGGAGGAACACCGGUGGCGAAGGCGGCCCCCUGGUUGGAUACUGACGCUGAGACGCGAAAGCGUGGGGAGGCAAACAA